GGAGUCUAUGAUGAAAUGAAAGAAAAGGCUGUUCAACCUCGAGCAUAUGAUCGUGAAGAGCGGAAGCCAAAGUAUAUUCAAAAUUUGAUGAAAAAGGCACAAGAGAGAGAGAGAGAGCAGGAGAUUAUAUAUGAAAGAAAACUAGCCAAGGAGAGAAACAAAGAUGAUCAUCUGUAUGCUGGCAAGGACAAAUUUGUCACUAGUGCCUACAAAAAGAAGCUUGCAGAACAAGCAAAAUGGAUGGAGGAAGAGCGUCUCCGACAACUUCGGGAGGAGAAAGAGGAUGUUACUAAGAAGAGCGACAUUAGCGACUUUUACUUCAACCUUCAAAAGAAUAUUGCCUACGGUGCCAGAAACGCAAUUGAGCCAAG
rnacentral:misc_RNA from 1 species